rnacentral:rRNA from 1 species
UACGAAGGGGGCUAGCGUUGUUCGGAAUUACUGGGCGUAAAGCGCACGUAGGCGGAUCGAUCAGUCAGGGGUGAAAUCCCAGGGCUCAACCCUGGAACUGCCCUUGAUACUGUCGAUCUGGAGUAUGGAAGAGGUGAGUGGAAUUCCGAGUGUAGAGGUGAAAUUCGUAGAUAUUCGGAGGAACACCAGUGGCGAAGGCGGCUCACUGGUCCAUUACUGACGCUGAGGUGCGAAAGCGUGGGGAGCGAACAGG